ACUGCAUACACUACACUAACACACACACUGCAUUCACUAACACACACACUGCAUUCACUACAUUAACACACACACACACACUGCAUACACUACACUAACAUACACACACUGCAUUCACUACACUAACACACACACUGCACUCACUGCACUAACACACACACACUGCAUACACUACACUAACACACACACUCACUACACUAAACUAACACACACACACUCUGCAUUCACAC